AUGGCCAAAUGUGAUUAUGAUGGGAUUAUAUCUGUAGUGUCUCGUGCUCCAGAUUCAUCCCUAAUUCAUCUGGGGUCUCUGGCCUCCGCUCGGUGCUUACUGGCCUUCUGUGGGUCUACUGGCCUCCUCCUGUGGGUCUACUGGCCUCCUCUCUGUGGGUCUAUGGCCUCCUCUCUGUGGGUCUCUGGCCUCCUCUCGGUGGCUCUACUGGCUCCUCUCGGUGGGUCUACUGGCCUGCUCUCUGUAGGUCUUGGACUCCUGGGUCUACGGACUCCUCUGUGGGUCUACUGGACUCCUCUCUGUGGGUCUACUGGACUCUCUCUGUGGGCUACUGGACUCCUCUGUGGGUCUACUGGACUCCUCUCUGUGGGUCUACUGGACUCCUCUCUGUGGGUCUACUGGACUCCUCUCUGUGGGUCUACUGGACUCCUCUCUGUGGGUCUACUGGACUCCUCUCUGUGGUCUACUGGACUCCUCUCUUGUGGGUCACUGGCUCCCUCUGUGGGUCUACUGGCCUCCUCUCUGGGUGUCUGGCUCCUUCGGUGGGUCUACUGGCCUCCUCUCGGUGGGUCUACUGGCCUCCUCUCGGUGGGUCUUACUGGCCUCCUCUCGGUGGGUCUUACUGGCCUCCUCUUGUGGGUCUUACUGGCCUCCUCUCUGGGGUCUACCAGCCUCCUCUCUGUGGGUCUCUACCGGCCUCCUCUCUGUGGGUCUACCGCUCCUCUCUGUCGGUCUACGGCUCCGUCGUCUCGACUCCUCUCUGUCGGUCUCCGGCCUCCUCUCGGUGGGUCUACCGCCUCCUCUCGGUGGGUCUACCGGCCUCCUCUCGUGGGUCUACCUGCCUUUUGAGAAAGGAGAGUGCAAAUCAAUUGAAUUUCUAUUCAAACCAUAAGGGCUGAUUUCCUGGAUACAGUUAAGCUAGUCCUUGACUGAAAUUAAUUAAUUUUUCCAUGGAUAAUCUCCAUUGUGCUUUUUAGUACUAAUCUGUGUCUGGGAUACCACUCCUAAGCUCAUGGCAAUAUGUCUGGGACUUUAGGAAUAACAUUUUAUUGUAUGGUGUUUAAGCAAUCCUUAGUGUUUUUUAAAAAGGGAUUCAGUUCAGGGCCCAGAUUCAUAACGUGUCUCAGUGUAGGGUGCUGCUCUACGAUCAUAUUCUUACAUUGUUGAUCAUAAUGAAUGUGAUAUGGGUCUUAGAUAGUGAAAACGAUAUUUUAAAUUUAAAUCCACCUGUUUCAUUUUGGUCUCAUUUAGUUUCCUGAAGAAAGGAGGCACAUUUCUAUUCAAUUUAUUCAAUUUGUGAUCCUACAGGGGUCACCUGUCGGAGGCUGACUCCUACAGGGGUCACCCUUGGCGGAGGCUGACUCCUACAGGGCGUCACCUGGCGGAGGCUGACUCCUAAAGGGUCACCUGGCGGAGGCUGACUCCUACAACGGGUCACCUGGCGGAGGCUGACUCUACAGGGGUACCUGGCGGAGGCUGACUCCUACAGGGGUCACCUGGCGGAGGCUGAU
rnacentral:lncRNA from 1 species